ACCCUCUCAGGUUUGCACUUGGAGAGUUUCCACUACUCUACCAGUCUUGGUUAUGGGAGAGAGAGUCAAGCAGAAGCCUAUCCAUUUCAUUCCUAGUUUGGGCAGUGGCUAGCGAAUGGAAGGAAAUCUGCUACAAGU
rfam:Ornithorhynchus anatinus chromosome 6, whole genome shotgun sequence.